rnacentral:rRNA from 1 species
UCUCGAUUUCAGAAGAGCUAUUUUAAUUGUUGCUGUUUCUAACCUAAUUAAUUUAAUUUUAGGGGAGAUAUUCCAUUCGAUUUUGAAGGUAUCUAGUUUUUUAAGAAAUAAAUUUAAUUUAGACUUUAGUUAUCAAGUGAUUUAUUUAUUAAUUAUUUGUUAAUUUUAGUUGAGAUAUUAGGGGAUAAGCUCUAAUAUUAUCCUAAAAAUUUUAUUUUAUUUAAUUUUAGUAGGCUUUAAAUUAGCCAUCAUUAUUGAGUUCGUUGUAGUUCAAAUAAAUAAGGUUAAUGAUUUUCUUUAUUUUAGUAUUUUAUUAAAAUGAUGUUUUUAAUUUUAUAAAAUUUAUAAUAAUGAUUAAAUUAGUAUAUUUUUAUUGUAUAUCAUUUAUUUUUUGGUAUAAUUAAAUAAAGAAUUCGGCAAAUUUAACACUCGCCUGUUUAUCAAAAACAUGUCCUCUUGUUUAUAUAUGAGGUCUGACCUGCCCGGUGAAAAUUAUUUUAACGGCCGCAGUAUUUUGACUGUGCAAAGGUAGCAUAAUCAUUAGUCUUUUAAUAGGGGGCUGGUAUGAAAGGUUUGACGAGGUGUUAACUGUUUCAUUUAAUUUGUAUUUAGAAUUUAACUUUUCAGUUAAAAGGCUGAAAUUAUAUUGGAAGACGAGAAGACCCUAUAGAGCUUUAUAAUUGAAAUUUUAAUUAUUUUUUGAUUAUUAUUUAUUAUUAUUGUUUUAAUUAUUUUGUUGGGGUGACAAAAAUAUAUAAUUAACUUUUUUAUUUAAUUAACAUUGAUUUAUGAAUAUUAGAUCCAUUAUUAUUGAUUGUUAGAUUAAGUUACCUUAGGGAUAACAGCGUAAUCUUCCUUCAGAGUUCAUAUUUACGGGAAGGCUUGCGACCUCGAUGUUGGAUUAAGAUAAUAGUUAGGUGUANCCGCUUAAU